UAUGUAUAUUUAAUUUAACUUAAUCGAUGUUUAAAGGACUUGUGAUACAAGCAUAUAACGUGAAGUUAAGUAAGAACUAUUAUAGAUAAAAAUAAGUUGAAAAAUAUAUUGCCAUAAUCGGUAUGGCAUUAAAAAGAUAAGCAAAUAUCCGAACAAGGAUUUCGCGAACAACCUCGAAUCCUGCUAAAGAGGUUACAGUUCCAAAUAAAUAUUUGCACAGUU